rnacentral:rRNA from 1 species
UCUGCUUAAAGUUAAUCUGAGCAGGGUUAGCCGGUCCCUAAGGCGAGGCCGAAAGGCGUAGUCGAUGGGAAUCACGUUAAUAUUCGUGAGCCUGUGGGUAGUGACGGAUCGAGUAAGUUGUCCAAUCUUAUCGGAUUGAACGGGCAGCGAAUCGGUUCCAGGAAAUAGCUCCCACUUAUAGUCCGUACCCGAAACCGACACUGGUGGACUGGUAGAGAAUACCAAGGCGCUUGAGAGAACUAUGCUGAAGGAACUCGGCAAAUUGCACGCGUAACUUCGGGAUAAGCGUGACCCUUCUGCACGCAAGUGUAGGGGGGUGGCACAGGCCAGGGGGUAGCGACUGUUUAUCAAAAACACAGGGCUCUGCGAAGCCGCAAGGCGACGUAUAGGGUCUGACGCCUGCCCGGUGCUGGAAGGUUAAGAGGAGAGGUGCAAGCUUUGAAUCGAAGCCCCAGUAAACGGCGGCCGUAACUAUAACGGUCCUAAGGUAGCGAAAUUCCUUGUCGGGUAAGUUCCGACCUGCACGAAUGGCGUAACGACUUCCCCGCUGUCUCCAGCAUAGACUCAGUGAAAUUGAAUUCCCCGUGAAGAUGCGGGGUUCCUGCGGUUAGACGGAAAGACCCCGUGCACCUUUACUAUAGCUUUACAUUGGCAUUCGUAGUGGCAUGUGUAGGAUAGGUGGUAGGCUUUGAAGCUUGGACGCCAGUUCGAGUGGAGCCACCCUUGAAAUACCACCCUUAUCUCUAUGGAUGUCUAACCGCGGCCCGUCAUCCGGGUCCGGGACAAUGUAUGGUGGGUAGUUUGACUGGGGCGGUCGCCUCCUAAAGAGUAACGGAGGCGCGCGAUGGUGGGCUCAGAACGGUCGGAAAUCGUUCGCUGAGUGCAAUGGCAUAAGCCUGCCUGACUGCGAGACUGACAAGUCGAGCAGAGACGAAAGUCGGUCAUAGUGAUCCGGUGGUCCCGCGUGGAAGGGCCAUCGCUCAACGGAUAAAAGGUACGCCGGGGAUAACAGGCUGAUGACCCCCAAGAGUCCAUAUCGACGGGGUUGUUUGGCACCUCGAUGUCGACUCAUCGCAUCCUGGGGCUGGAGCAGGUCCCAAGGGUAUGGCUGUUCGCCAUUUAAAGCGGUACGUGAGUUGGGUUCAGAACGUCGUGAGACAGUUCGGUCCCUAUCUGCCGUGGGUGUAGGAAUAUUGAGAGGAUCUGUCCCUAGUACGAGAGGACCGGGAUGGACGGAUCUCUGGUGGACCUGUUGUGGCGCCAGCCGCAUAGCAGGGUAGCUAUAUCCGGACGGGAUAACCGCUGAAGGCAUCUAAGCGGGAAACCCACCUCAAAACGAGUAUUCCCUGAGAGUCGUGGUAGACGACCACGUUGAUAGGCCGGGUGUGGAAGAGCGGCAACGCUUGAAGCUUACCGGUACUAAUAGCUCC